rnacentral:rRNA from 1 species
GUCCACAGCCAUGCCACCCUGAACAAACCCAAUGUUUGAUCUUAGAAGCUAAGAAGGUUGGACCUGGUGAGUACUUGGAUGGGAGACCACCUAGGAAGACCAGGUGGUGUAGGCA